AUGGCGCCGGCGGCCGGUCGCGGCCGAGGACGAGGACGGGCCCGGGGACGAGGCCGCGGCCGUGGGCGUGGCCGAGCGGCCAAGACCCCGCCGCCUCCCGCCGCAGAACCCGCGCCGGAGGAGGCUCCCGACGCCGCCCAGCAGGAGCAGGAGCAGGAGCACGAGCAGGAGCAGGAGCAGGAGCAGCUCACCCACACCCAAGAUGCCGCCGCCUCUGCCUCUGCCUCUGCUUUUGCCGGGCGAGAGACGAUUGAGAUCUCUGACUCGCCAGACGCAUCCCCUCAGCCCUCCUCGCCAGACAUAUCUAGCUCAACCACAGUCCACCAGCACAUCAAGGACGAGGAGCCAAGCUCAAUCACACUGCUCCACAACAAACCCCAUGAGCUGCUGAGUGAGGCCGACAUGCCGUCUGCGUCUGCGUCUGCUACCAAUAAUGAUGAGCAGCAGCAGCAGGAGAAAAUGGAUACCAAUAAUGAUGAGCAGCAGCAGCAGGAGAAAAUGGAGGUGGAGGCUGGAGAGCCUCAUGAUACGCCCGCAGAGGAACAAGAAGAAGAAGCAGUCCCUACACAAGAAGAACAAGAGGCAGCAACAGACGCAGACAAGCAAACGGUACAGAACGAGGCAGCACAGCCACAGGUGAUAAUAGAGCAGGAGGGUGAAAAAGCCGACGAUGAUGAUGAUGUAGCGGUCAAGACUGAUGUUCCUGCACAUACUCCAGGCGCUGACACACAAAAUGAGCAACACACUCACGCUAUUAACCCACUCCACCAGGGACAAAUGCUUGCUGCAACUCAUGAUGAUAAUUCAGAAAAUAAGCACCCAUUCCACCAACAACAAAUGGAUGCUGAGCAGGAAGAGGAGGACCCUGAAGAGGUCAUUUUCGACGACUCUGUCUCUGUUGGUGAAGGGCAGGCCGCAUCUGAGAUCAAACAAGGAGAGGACGAUGACGGGCAGGCUGCAGCUGAGAGCAAACAGGAAGAGCACCGUGCUAGGGCCGCGGAGGCUGCAGCUGAGGUCAAACAGCAAGAGGAUGAGCGCAAGGUUAUGUCAGACAUGGCCAACAACAGGCAGCGCAAAAAGGAGCUAGAGAUCUUUGUGGGAGGGCUGGACCGUGAAGCCGUCGAGGAGGAUAUUAGGAAGGUGUUUGCGCACGUCGGUGAUGUUGUGGAGGUCCGUCUCCACAAGGAUUUAUCCACCAACAAGAACAAGGGCUUUGCUUUCGUCAGGUUUGCAAACAAACACCAGGUGGCUCGGGCGCUUGCUGAGGUGAAGAAUCCUAUGAUACAUGGCAAACGUUGUGGUGUCGCUGCUAGCGAGGACAACGAUACACUCUUCUUGGGCAAUAUUUGCAAUACGUGGACAAAGGAAGCUAUUAAGAAGAGGCUGCUUGACUAUGGGGUAGAAGGAGUUCAAAGCUUAACUCUUGUUCCUGAUACUCAAAACGAAGGCCAGAGCCGUGGUUUUGCAUUUCUCGAGUUUUCUUGCCACGCGGAUGCGAUGCUUGCAUUCAAAAGGCUGCAGCAACCAGAUGCUCUAUUUGGUCAUCCUGAGAGAACUGCAAAAGUUGCUUUUGCAGAGCCAAUAAAAGAAGCAGAUGCACAAGUUAUGGCUCAGGUCAAAUCAGUUUUUAUUGAUGGGCUUCCACCAUACUGGGAUGAAGAGCGUGUUAAAAACCGAUUCAGAGCUUAUGGUUUGAUAGAACGGGUUGUGCUUGCUCGCAAUAUGCCCAGUGCUAAAAGAAACGAUUUUGGAUUUGUCAACUUCUCGACCCAUGAGGAAGCUCUUGCCUGUAUUGAAGCCACCAACAACACCGAACUGGGUGAUGAUGGAAAAGCAAAGCUAAAAGUAAGGGUUAGACUUUCGAACCCUCUACCUAAAAGUCAGGCUGUGAAAGGUGAAAUGAGUGGCGGGUUUCGAAUUGGACAUCCUGGAUCUGGUUUUAACAGGCCUGGUAGAGGUUUUAAUAGGGGAAGAGCUGCCCCUCGCCGGGAAGGUUUCUAUGGUGAUAGGGGUUUCAAUACUCAUACUCCUGGUCGUGGUGGCAGAUUUAAUUCUGCAUACAGUAACAACAGUUUUGAAGCUUCGCCCUCUGAUUUCCGAGCCAGGCAGGCUCCUCCUGCCUUUCGAGGGGGUAGAUGGGAACCUUCCUCAGGAAGGCAGCAUGAUUUCUUUGAUAGAGGGCAUGGGAGAGGAUAUCAUCAUCCACCUAGAGGGCCAACAUUUGAGCCCGAGGGUGAUUUUGGUAGACCCUUUGGUGAAAACCCAUAUCUCUAUGAAGAUGUUCGGCAUGGUGCCAAGAGGCCAUAUUCUCACAUGGAACCCGGUCCUCCUGGAUACUUUGAGCAUGGUCCUCCUCGUGUGCGCCCUCGCUUUGACCAUUACGAGCAGCCGCCAUUUCCUGGAGGGAACCGUUUUGGUCAUUAUGACCAGCCACCAUUUCCUGGAGGGGACCGCCACAGAGACUCUUUUGGAACGAGGGGCGGUUAUUCACGUGAUCACUAUGGCCCUGGUCCUGGUCAUCCCCCGCCCCCUGCCCAUGCCCAUGCCCAUGCCCCGCCCCCUGCCCCAGCUCAAUAUGGUAGGGGUGCAUUCCGACCACACCAUAGAGGCGGCGGGCAUUCUGGAGGCGGUUAUUACCACCACUAG
rnacentral:rRNA from 1 species